ensembl:lncRNA
UUAUUGAUAUGGAACUUUUUUUUAUUUGUUAGCAAAGUAAUUCAUGUUGACCCAUAUCACAAAAGGCAUAAGCAGUAACAACAACAACAAUAUAGAUAUCUCAAAUACAAUCUGUUUAGAAGAUUAAAUGCAAGAAAUGCAUGAAGACUGUGUUAAACUGACUUGAUCCACAGGUUUGCUUUAACAUGUUACAUGGUAUUUGUGUUGUUGUGCUAUCUUGUACUAAGCUAUGUAUUGCUAUGCUAAUUUGACAGGUAUACUGAUCACCUGGCAUACAGAAAUUAAACCCCUGAUCUCAUGGGUAUGCCAGGUACAAGGGGGUGCCAUUGUUGUCUGUAUUCAGAUUUUUUCCAAUGACAUGGAUGCCAGCCUUUUCAUAAGGACUCACUUCUUGUUGAAUGAUUACAGUGAUGGUCUGGAUGGCAUGGUCUGAACCCUUCUUGUACCAGGCAUUUAUCGGGGGGCCUCCUGUUCCUUCAUUGAGAUUAACACCAACACAGGUAUAACCCUGUAUCUGAAGGAUUUCCUCUUCCUCAUUGUUAGUGGAGACAUCCAGGAGAUUGAUGCUUUGGGACUGUGUUAGAGAAUGACGAUACCAAAGAAAGAUAGAGCGUUCUCCUGCAUCUCGAUUCACAUUUUCAUCCACACGGGUGUAGCCCUGGGAAAAAUACUCGUUAUCAAAUGCAAAAGUGGUAGUUGCCUUGAUGUCAGAGAUGUACAUUUUCUUCUCUUUCUUCACCCAAACAUGGAUCCAGUUGUCGUUAGCAUUGCGAUUCAGGUCACACGCCAGUCGUUCCCAGCCUUUCUGGUAAAUUUGGGCUUCAUCUGUUGCAUCUGUGGUGACCUUAAGUUCCACUAUAGGGUUGUCAUACUCAGUUGUACCUUUGUAGUACCAGAGAAAGAUGUUAUCUCCUCCAGCCCCUGCAUUGAGGUCUUUAUCCACCUUAUGGUAACCUGCGUUCCUCAAACCAAUUUGCAUUUCAUCUGUGAAUGUAACCUGCAAUCUGGUGAUGGGAUUGCUGCUUCCCUUCUUGUACCAGAGGUAAAUAUUAUUUCCUUCAGCACCUUUGUUCAGAUUAACAUUGAUUAUUUUGAAACUUUGGUUUCUUAGGCCUUGCUCCUGUUCAGGAUUAAUGGAAACAUCAAUAUCUGUGAUGUACGGCAUCCUGAGUUUGGUGUCUGAAGAGGACUGUGUAGGUACCUGAACAAAACAGAAAGCCAGUUGUUUGAAAUUUAAAAACGAAAUAGAAACAAAUUAAACUGAUGUAAAUACAUAAGUCAGACACACAUAGAGUUAACUAAAAAUAGUAGACAACUUAUCAAAUGUUGAAACUGAGAAAUGUUAUUGUUUUUGGAAAACUACAUGCCGUUGAAUUUGAUGCCAGCAACAUGUUUCAGAAAGGUUGGGGCAGGGGCAUGUUUACCACUGUGUUGCAUCAACUCUUCUUUUAACAAUACUCUGUAAGGGUUUUGGAACAGAGGAGACCAAUUGCUGUAGUUUUGAAAGUGAAAUGCAUUCCAAUUCUUACUUGAUAUAGGAUUUCAGCUGCUCAGCAGUUCGGGGUCUCCUUUGGGGUAUUUUCUGUUUUGUAAUAUGCCAAAUGUUUACAAUGGACAGGUAUCGGACUGCAGGCAAGCCAGUUUAGCUCCCAGACUCUUUUACUACGGAGCCAUGCUGUUGAAAUAUGUGCAGAAUGUGGUUUGGCAUUGUCUUGCUGAAAUAAGCAAGGCCUUCCCUGAAAAAGAUCUCCCAGACUCUUUUACUACGGAGCCAUGCUGUUGAAAUAUGUGCAGAAUGUGGUUUGGCAUUGUCUUGCUGAAAUAAGCAAGGCCUUCCCUGAAAAAGAUGUUGUUUGCAUGUAACGGCAUAGGUUUGUUUAUUUUACCUAAUAUCAAGGUGUGCAUAAUUAUUAAGCAGC